CGGCAGCACGGGGAGCUUGCUCCCUGGUGGCGAGCGGCGGACGGGUGAGUAAUGCAUAGGAAUCUGCCCGGUAGUGGGGGAUAACCUGGGGAAACCCAGGCUAAUACCGCAUACGUCCUACGGGAGAAAGCAGGGGCUCUUCGGACCUUGCGCUAUCGGAUGAGCCUAUGUCGGAUUAGCUGGUUGGUGAGGUAAUGGCUCACCAAGGCGACGAUCCGUAGCUGGUCUGAGAGGAUGAUCAGCCACACUGGGACUGAGACACGGCCCAGACUCCUACGGGAGGCAGCAGUGGGGAAUAUUGGACAAUGGGCGCAAGCCUGAUCCAGCCAUGCCGCGUGUGUGAAGAAGGCCCUCGGGUUGUAAAGCACUUUCAGCGAGGAAGAAGGCUUGGCGGCUAAUACCCGUCAAGAAGGACAUCACUCGCAGAAGAAGCACCGGCUAACUCCGUGCCAGCAGCCGCGGUAAUACGGAGGGUGCGAGCGUUAAUCGGAAUUACUGGGCGUAAAGCGCGCGUAGGUGGUUUGGCACGCCGGUUGUGAAAGCCCCGGGCUCAACCUGGGAACGGCAUCCGGAACGGCCAGACUAGAGUGCAGGAGAGGAAGGUAGAAUUCCCGGUGUAGCGGUGAAAUGCGUAGAGAUCGGGAGGAAUACCAGUGGCGAAGGCGGCCUUCUGGCCUGACACUGACACUGAGGUGCGAAAGCGUGGGUAGCAAACAGGAUUAGAUACCCUGGUAGUCCACGCCGUAAACGAUGUCGACUAGCCGUUGGGACCUUUAAGGACUUAGUGGCGCAGUUAACGCGAUAAGUCGACCGCCUGGGGAGUACGGCCGCAAGGUUAAAACUCAAAUGAAUUGACGGGGGCCCGCACAAGCGGUGGAGCAUGUGGUUUAAUUCGAUGCAACGCGAAGAACCUUACCUACCCUUGACAUCCAGAGAACUUGGCAGAGAUGCCUUGGUGCCUUCGGGAACUCUGAGACAGGUGCUGCAUGGCUGUCGUCAGCUCGUGUUGUGAAAUGUUGGGUUAAGUCCCGUAACGAGCGCAACCCUUGUCCCUAUUUGCCAGCGAUUCGGUCGGGAACUCUAGGGAGACUGCCGGUGACAAACCGGAGGAAGGUGGGGACGACGUCAAGUCAUCAUGGCCCUUACGGGUAGGGCUACACACGUGCUACAAUGGCCGGUACAAAGGGUUGCGAGACCGCGAGGUGGAGCGAAUCCCAGAAAGCCGGCCUCAGUCCGGAUCGGAGUCUGCAACUCGACUCCGUGAAGUCGGAAUCGCUAGUAAUCGUGAAUCAGAAUGUCACGGUGAAUACGUUCCCGGGCCUUGUACACACCGCCCGUCACACCAUGGGAGUGGACUGCACCAGAAGUGGUUAGCUUAACCUUCGGGGGAGCGAUCACCACGGUGUGGUUCAUGACUGG
rnacentral:rRNA from 1 species